GACGAACGCUGGCGGCGUGCUUAACACAUGCAAGUCGAACGGAAAGGCCCUGCUUUUGUGGGGUGCUCGAGUGGCGAACGGGUGAGUAACACGUGAGUAACCUGCCCUUGACUCUGGGAUAACUUCAGGAAACUGGGGCUAAUACCGGAUAGGAGCUCCUGCUGCAUGGUGGGGGUUGGAAAGUUUCGGCGGUUGGGGAUGGACUCGCGGCUUAUCAGCUUGUUGGUGGGGUAGUGGCUUACCAAGGCUUUGACGGGUAGCCGGCCUUAGAGGGUGACCGGCCACAUUGGGACUAAGAUACGGCCCAGACUCGUACGGGAGGCAGCAGUGGGGAAUAUUGCACAGUGGGCGGAAGCCAGUGGCAGCAGCGCCGCGUGCGGGAUGACGGGCUUCGGGUUGUAAACCGCUUUCGCCUGUGACGAAGCGUGAGUGACGGUAAUGGGUAAAGAAGCACCGGCUAACUACGUG
rnacentral:rRNA from 1 species